rnacentral:rRNA from 1 species
CGGACGGGUGAGUAACGCGUAGGUAUCUAUCGAUGGGUGGGGGACAACCGUGGGAAACUACGGCUAAUACCGCAUGACACCUGAGGGUCAAAGCUCGCGAGAGCGCCUGUGGAGGAGCCUGCGUCCGGUUAGCUUGUUGGUGGGGUAACGGCCUACCAAGGCGACGAUCGGUAGCUGGUCUGAGAGGAUGAUCAGCCACACUGGGACUGAGACACGGCCCAG